AAAGAUGCAGGCUAAGAAACAUGAAUUUUCCCCUCCCAGAGAGUGAUCUGCACAUAUCUCUGUAUCCUGGGGACCACAGUCCUGUCUGGAAUGGGCACGGCCCUAAACACUGUGUCCCUUAUGGAGACACAGGUUUUCCAAGAAUUCCUUGUACCCACUGCUGCACACAGCAUGGACUGUAGCUCUAUUGUUUUCCUCCAAAUACAGAAGAGAUUUUAUACCACUGGGCUCACAUGAGAAGCCUCCCCCCAUGCUCUUCACUCUUUCUGCACCACUGCACCCACCAGGGAAUUUUCGUUUUGCCCCAGGGAGGACAUUCCCUGGCAAGUCUCACAUAAAAUCUGGCUCUAGCUUUGCCUUACCUGAUUAGGAUGCUUCAGUCCCAAUUCUCAUAAUGAGGCUCCCUCUUCAGCUCCUGGGGCUGCUACUGCUCUGGAUCAUUGGAUCCACAGGAGAUGUUGUCAUGACUCAGACCCCACUCUCUGUGUCUGUGGCCCUGGAGAGCUGACCUCCAUCUCCUGCAGGUUCAAUCAGAGCCUCCUACAUAGUGAUGGAAACACCUAUUUGAAUUGGGUGGUGCACAAGCCAGGCCAGGCUCCAAGCCUGUCUGCAGCUCCUGGAGAGCUUCCUGCAUCUCAGAAUAGCAAAGUUGAGGGCUGGCAAUAGUGAGCUCCUGAGACUCCAUGGAUCAUCAAGAAGUGAUGCUUCUUGAAGGGAUCUUAGUCUUACUGACUCCAUGGUGAUUAAAGAUCCUGGCUAAAAGAAACUUUAGUCCUGUGACAUCUCUCUCAUCAAUGUAGCAAGGCAAAGGUGAGCAUCUAAAUUGUGACCCUGCCUCAUCACAUAUUGGGGUUGACAUGAGAGAAGUUGAAUGAUCCUUAUUUUGUCGCCAUCCUUUCCUGCUUCCUGGUAUCCCCUCCGCCUGGGUAGCACUUACACUCUCCUAUACACCGGGUCAUCAAGCCAGGAUCAAGAAAAUAAGUAUGUGAUUUAAUAGGUAGAACAUUAAACACUUUGUGGAAUGUUUUUAGGUCUAAGCUUGUAUUGUCAUAUGUUAUGUUUAUUAAUGUGCACUUGCUGUACUUCUAUGUACAGUGUGGGUAGUUGGCAUUAUGUACAUAACACAUUUUAAUUAUUUUUAAUUCCUCUUGCAACCUUUAUCUUCUCUUCCCUGUCUCUCUAGUUUCCCUAUCAAUUUGCAGAGCAUU